AAGAAAAUAAAGUGCAGAAAUGAAGUUGUUUUCAGAGGUAAAGUUUGAGACGUGCAAUGUUUGGAGCUCGUGAAAGUCAGUGUUGCUACUUGGCUCAACGCAUUGUGGCCUGCGGAUUGUUUAUCUGUUUUAUACGCUUGCACACAACCGUUUGGACACGAUCAGCUCAAGGAUGCCUGGGACCAGUUGAAAUCGGUGGCCUUUUGUGCGACAAUAAAAGGGAGGUUAAAGUGUUAUUUUCUAAGUCAAUUGGAGAAGCCUUGGUUGUUUUUGCUGCGUCAAAGUGGAAGGAUGAGUUUCAUUUGAUUAUUGAAAGGAUUCCACUGACGUGGUCAAUGGACGAAAUUAUCUGCUACAGCUCCUUAGAGAGUAAGGAAGGUUUUGCUGCAGAUUGACAGAGAGGCAAAUCAGAGAGCAGGUAGUCUUGCGAAGGGAGGGGUUCAUCUUCAAAACGAGAUAUUGCGAGUCUCUGAGUAAGUCUUCCCCGAAUUGUGUUUUGACACUGUCUGGUUUUGAUUUAUUGGUUAGGUGGAUGAUUUCCUUCUUGAUGGCUGUUCCAGAUGUGCACAGGUUGUCUUGCUCCUUGACAUCUGGUUUGAUUGUGAGUGUAGGGAGCAGUACAGAUGGAUGAAAGUUUUUUUUUUUUGUUCUGUUUCUGGGGGUCGUUUACUUUGUUUUAUGAUUUGAAGCUGUAUUGGGGGGGCAUACCCAUCUCUAUUGUAAGUGUAUGCCGUCCUGUGGAUAAUUUUUGGCUUUGAUGUUACUGAUGUAGGGAAUCAUUUCAUUCCCUCUUUAUUAAUGAAAGCAGUUUUAUAAUUUUCAAAACUAUAUAAAUAAAGUGCAAGAAAUGACUUCAUGAUA